rnacentral:lncRNA from 1 species
GACUGUAGCCUACCAGGCUUCUCCAUCCAUGGGAUUCUCCAGGCAAGACUGGAGUGGAUUGCCAUGCCCUUCUCCAAGAGCACUUUCUUCCCUUGACUAAAAAAAAAUCAGUGCGAGAGACAUUCACACCCGGGUAUAAGCUCUCCCACAUUUCUCAAUGCCCUGCCGUGAAUGGGGCGGGAGGCCAGUCCUGCCACUGCCAAUAGGCAGCACAGGGGCUUCAGAGUGUGACUGAGCCUGGAAAACGCCUCAAGAACACAGCAGCACAAACUUCCAAAUACAUCCGCACUAGACAGACAAGCAUCGGCUUGAGGCUUUACAAAACGUCUUUGAAGUUACCCUGGCCCACCUGGCCUCACUGACAUCAGUGACCAUCAGUGAAAGCACCACGUCUGACCCAGGCCUGGGGCUGCCUUGUCCGCUGUGGGUAUCCUGGGCUGUUGGCUUGGGUGGUCCACUGCCCUUCCUCUGUGUGUCUUGCUUAAGUGAACCCUCAGUUGCGUCUGCCGAGUAGCCCAGUGACAGGCGGGAAGCCCCAAAGCCUUGCUGGAGAACAGAGGAGUCAGAAUGACUCACGCUCUGUGGGGACCACCUGACCUCCAGAACCAGGCUUCCCUGCGUCUGCCCAGCAGGACACAGGGCCUACCGAAGGUGCAGUAUAUCUGUGGGUGUCUUUUGGUGUCUUCUCUUCCCUGACUCUGGGGUGACAUGAAUUUGUUACCAGGGCUGAGCAGAGAUGGCAAUUUCAGCUCAGCUCUCCAGAGGGGUAUUAGGGUUUUCCUAUCAGUGGGCAGCUAUUUUUACUCUCCUGCUCGCCAGCCACUCCGACGGCCUCGUCCCAAACGCUCACCAUUCGACCUGACUCACGCGGGCUGGCCUCGGGAUCCCACUUUCAGUUUUUAUUCCCUUUCAUCUCCUAAGAGCUCCCACCCACUCCCUGUGUCACUCAGCAGGCUUCUCUCUCUCUUUCUUGUCUCCUCCAGAUGCUGUAAAUUUGAGGCAGGACCCACACAGCCUGUUCUUUCAAGCAAUUCUCUCGUGUCUUGCAUAACCAUCCUUCAGAAAGAGAUGGGAGUGCCACGUGUUGUAAGAACGGAGGAGGAAUUCUGAGAGGAAAAAGCCAAAGUGCUCACAGGAGUCCAGGGAUCCACAAAACACCUCCUUCCAGGAAACCAGUUAAGAGGCUGGGUUGAGAUUUGCUCUCUUCCCAUUAGCUGUCAAUGAGAUUUUGGUAGAAGACAGUGUUAAUUAUUCCAAGCAAAGGACAGCCCUUCAGGGGUGGGAUGAGUUCCACUGCUGGGCUUCUGUGCAUGGAAGCUACCUUGCUCUCUGGAGCAAUUGAAAAAACACUUCAGAGACAUCUUUUUUUUUUUUUGUACUUCACCAUAAUCUCAGCAUGUCGAGUAGACCAAACAUCUCUUCUUCUCUUCUAAUGAAGGAAACAGAUAAAGCUGCUUCCUGCUGCCUCUUUCUCUCCAGCUACUCUGCUCGUUCCGUGUCACCCAGGCAGACCUCAUCUCGUCUCUAACACCCCUCCUGGUGGGGAUGAAAGGUGACACCCAGAGCCUGGGUCCAGAAUAAAGUCCUGACAAAGUACCACCAUAUCGGCACAGUCUAUGACUAUUUACCAUUAAAGUAACAGUAAAUCAACCUAAGAGGCUCCUUAUAAAACAUGCAGCAAUAUCCUCUGCCUCAAAAGAGGCUUCCUAGCACGGUGCACAGAGUGGAGUACCACACAGGUUCAGGGGAGGCAAAGGGAGUGGGCCAGAAGAAAAAGUGUUAAAGGCCGUGGGUAGAGAAAUCCAGAAGAAAAUAAAAGAACACUGACAUACUCUCUAAAACAUAAAAUCCCGUUAAGUGUCCUU